AUGCCGGCUACCCAAACCGGCAGAAGAAGGAAAAAAAAGAAGAAGAGUCGGUUGACUGCUGCUGGGUCAACAAAGUGUGCCGACUGGCAACCUAGUCGGGUGCUAAAAAAUAAAGAAUGGCCGACUGCCUCAAAAAGCAGAAAGAAAGAAAGAGAUGCGGGCCGACUGCUCCCAUCAACACGGACACAAGGGCGAAACGUCCUGCUGCCCGUUGCCAACAGACGGACAAAGAGAAGAAGAAAAAACAUCAACUUCAAUAAAGAAGACAAAGUAGUUGUCGGAAGAUCCUGCCCGACUACUCAGCAGUCGGCCUGA
rnacentral:rRNA from 1 species